ACCAUGAUGGCCGAGUGGUCUAAGGCGGGGGACUUAAGAUCCUUUACUCAUCAGAGUGCGCGAGUUCGAAUCUCGCUUAUGGUA
rnacentral:tRNA from 1 species